UGAUGUCCAGAUGCUUGUGAGCCUACCAGU
rnacentral:piRNA from 1 species